rnacentral:rRNA from 1 species
AGAACGAACGCUGGCGGCAUGCCUAACACAUGCAAGUCGAACGAGACCUUCGGGUCUAGUGGCGCACGGGUGCGUAACGCGUGGGAAUCUGCCCUUAGGUACGGAAUAACAGUGAGAAAUUACUGCUAAUACCGUAUGAUGUCUUCGGACCAAAGAUUUAUCGCCUAGGGAUGAGCCCGCGUUGGAUUAGCUAGUUGGUGGGGUAAAGGCCUACCAAGGCGACGAUCCAUAGUUGGUCUGAGAGGAUGAUCAGCCACACUGGGACUGAGACACGGCCCAGACUCCUACGGGAGGCAGCAGUGGGGAAUAUUGGACAAUGGGCGGAAGCCUGAUCCAGCAACGCCGCGUGAGGGAUGACGGCCUUCGGGUUGUAAACCUUCUUCGGUGGGGACGAAGCGAAGUGACGGUACCACUAAAGAAGCACCGGCCAACUACGCGCCAGCGAGCCGC